GCCCCUGUGGCGCAGUGGGAUAGCGCGUAGCUCUUAUACCUUCAUUACUUGGUGAAGAUAUGCUAAGGUCGUGAGUUCGAACCUCACUAGGGGCA
rnacentral:tRNA from 5 species